GGAAUCUUCGGCAAUGGACGAAAGUCUGACCGAGCAACGCCGCGUGAGUGAAGAAGGUUUUCGGAUCGUAAAACUCUGUUGUUAGAGAAGAAUGUUGAUUAGAGUGGAAAAUUAAUCAAGUGACGGUAUCUAACCAGAAAGGGACGGCUAACUACGUGCCAGCAGCCGCGGUAAUACGUAGGUCCCGAGCGUUGUCCGGAUUUAUUGGGCGUAAAGCGAGCGCAGGUGGUUUAAUAAGUCUGAUGUAAAA
rnacentral:rRNA from 1 species